rnacentral:rRNA from 1 species
AUUGAACGCUGGCGGCAGGCUUAACACAUGCAAGUCGAGCGAGCGGCGGACGGGUGAGUAAUGUCUGGGAAACUGCCUGAUGGAGGGGGAUAACUACUGGAAACGGUAGCUAAUACCGCAUACCAUCAGAUGUGCCCAGAUGGGAUUAGCUAGUAGGUGGGGUAAUGGCUCACUUAGGCGACGAUCCCUAGGUGGUCUGAGAGGAGGACCAGCCACACUGGAACUGAGACACGGUCCAGAGUCCGACGGGAGGCAGCAGUAGGGAAAAUUGCGCAAUGGGCGCAAGCCUGAGGCAGACAUGCCGAGUGUGUGAAGAAGGCCUUCGGGUUGUAAAACACUGUCAGCGGGGAGGCGUUACUCGCAGAAGAAGCACCGGCUAACUCCGUGCCAGCAGCCGCGGUAAUUC